rnacentral:tRNA from 1 species
UGCGGGGUAGAGCAGCUGGUAGCUCAUCGGGCUCAUAACCCGAAGGUCGCUGGUUCGAAUCCAGCCCCCGCUACCG